CCUACGGGAGGCAGCAGUGAGGAAUAUUGGUCAAUGGACGAGAGUCUGAACCAGCCAAGCAGCGUGAAGGAUGAAUGCUUUAUGUGUUGUAAACUCUUUUUACAUGGGAAUAAAACGUUCCACGUGUGGGAUUUUGUAUGUACCAUAUGAAUAAGGAUCGGCUAACUCCGUUCCAGCAGCCGCGGUAAUACGGAGGAUCCGAGCGUUAUCCGGAUUUAGUGGGUGUAAAGGGAGCGUAGGUGGAUUGUUAAGUCAGUUGUGAAAGUUUGCGGCUCAACCGUCACAUUGCAGUUGAAACUGGCAGUCUGGAGUACAGUAGAGGUGGGCGGAAUUCGUAGUGUAGCGGUGAAAUGCUUAGAUAUCACGAAGAACUCCAAUUGCGAAGGCAGUUCACUGGACUGCAACUGACACUGAGGCUCGAAAGUGUGGGUAUCAAACAGGAUUAGAUACCCCAGUAGUC
rnacentral:rRNA from 1 species